UUUCCGUAGGUGAACCUGCGGAAGGAUCAUUAUUGAAAUAAAACUUGGUUGGGUUGCUGCUGGCUCUCAGGAGCAUGUGCACACUCGGUCCAUUUUUUAAACCACCUGUGCACACAUUGUAGGGCCUGAAUGAACUUUGUCGAGGGUAACUCGGUUUGGGAACUUGCCUUUGGCUGUUCUCGUGUUCUCAGGUUCUAUGUUUUAAAUCAUAUACUCUAUAACAAGUAAUAGAAUGUCAAUUAUGGGCCUUCUGUGCCUUUAAAACCUAAUACAACUUUCAACAACGGAUCUCUUGGCUCUC
rnacentral:misc_RNA from 1 species